GAGUUUGAUCAUGGCUCAGAAUGAACGCUGGCGGCAGGCCUAACACAUGCAAGUCGAACGGAGUUAUAUUGUAGCUUGCUAUGGUAUAACUUAGUGGCAGACGGGUGAGUAAUGUAUAGGAAUCUACCUAGUAGUACGGAAUAAUUGUUGGAAACGGCAACUAAUACCGUAUACGCCCUACGGGGGAAAAAUUUAUUGCUAUUAGAUGAGCCUAUAUUAGAUUAGUUAGUUGGUGAGGUAAAGGCUUACCAAGACAAUGAUCUAUAGCUGAUCUGAGAGGAUGAUCAGCCACACUGGAACUGAGAUACGGUCCAGACUCCUACGGGAGGCAGCAGUGGGGAAUAUUGGACAAUGGGCGAAAGCCUGAUCCAGCCAUGCCGCAUGAGUGAAGAAGGCCUUCGGGUUGUAAAGCUCUUUUAGUGAGGAAGAUAAUGACGGUACUCACAGAAGAAGUCCUGGCUAACUCCGUGCCAGCAGCCGCGGUAAUACGGAGAGGGCUAGCGUUAUUCGGAAUCAUUGGGCGUAAAGGGCGCGUAGGCGGGUUAGUAAGUUAAAAGUGAAAUCCCAAGGCUCAACCUUGGAACUGCUUUUAAAACUGCUAGUCUAGAGAUUGAAAGAGGAUAGAGGAAUUCCUAGUGUAGAGAUGAAAUUCGUAAAUAUUA
rnacentral:rRNA from 2 species